GACGGGGGGGGCUAGUGUUAUUCGGAAUGACUAAGGGCGUAAAGGGCACGGUAUGGCGGUGAAUCCGGUUGAAAAUGUGAAAGUCGCCAGCUCAACUGGCGGAAUGCUUUCAAAACCAAUUCACUUGAGUAAGAUAGAGGAGUAGUGGAAUUUCGUGUGUAGAGAUAAAAUUCACAGAUAUACGAAGGAACACCAAAAGCGAAGGCAGCUUUCUGGGUCUCUACUGAACGCUGAGGUGCGAAAGCAUAGGGAGCAAACAAGGGAUUGAAGAAACCCGAUG
rnacentral:rRNA from 1 species